rnacentral:rRNA from 1 species
GAUGAACGCUGGCGGCGUGCCUAAUACAUGCAAGUCUAGCGAACGGACGAGAAGCUUGCUUCUCUGAUGUUAGCGGCGGACGGGUGAGUAACACGUGGAUAACCUACCUAUAAGACUGGGAUAACUUCGGGAAACCGGAGCUAAUACCGGAUAAUAUUUUGAACCGCAUGGUUCAAAAGUGAAAGACGGUCUUGCUGUCACUUAUAGAUGGAUCCGCGCUGCAUUAGCUAGUUGGUAAGGUAACGGCUUACCAAGGCAACGAUGCAUAGCCGACCUGAGAGGGUGAUCGGCCACACUGGAACUGAGACACGGUCCAGACUCCUACGGGAGGAAGAAGUAGGGAAUCUUCCGCAAUGGGCGAAAGCCUGACGGAGCAACGCCGCGUGAGUGAUGAAGGUCUUCGGAUCGUAAAACUCUGUUAUUAGGGAAGAACAUAUGUGUAAGUAACUGUGCACAUCGUGACGGUACCUAAUCAGAAAGCCACGGCUAACUACGUG